ensembl:lncRNA
UCACCACCCGGCCACAGGAAACCAGCUGACUUUGUCCUCUCAUGUCCCCCGUCCCAGCCCAGGAAGGGACUUGCUGUCCCGUCAACAGCCCAGCUUCUGAGAGCGACUCUCAGAGCUGCUGGGGCCCAAGACAGCAUCCAGCCCUGCAUUUUAUGGGAUGGGCUACUGGGGCCCAGAGAAGAUCCAAGGAUGGAGCAUUUUCCAGAUCCAAGAAUGGAGAGUUUUCUAGAGCCCUGGACAGCGUUUUCCCAGACCUAGGAAUGGAACUUUCCAGAGCUGGGGAUUGAGAAUUCUCUUGAGCCAGAAAUAACAUGCCUCAACUCAUUGUCGUAGGCUUUUGCAGAGGGAGGCAGGGAAAAAUGUGAAGAUGGAGGGGCCAGGUCUCGGUCAGAGUGGAGAAGAGCCUCUCCUCCAGAGGCAAAGGGUGCUGGCAUCCGGGCUGCUCGAUCUCUUGGGGUAUCCACAGUCACGCCGAGACCCCAUCAGACUCCACCCUUCGUGAUUACAACUCCCAGACAGCAGGAGGCAAAGCUCAUCAGCGUCUCAGAGACACAAACCUGCUUGAAAAUGGUUCCCACUCCCAGAUGAUCCAGAGCUAUGCCCCAAGGUCAAUGUGAAAGCUCAUUGAAUCAUUUUACUGCAGUGGAGAAAAAAGUCUAAAAGCAAGUUCCCUGCCUCAACCCUAUGGACAGAAAGGACCUCAGGGCCUCUUUUGUCAACUGGGGUGUUGAGCUUGCCUCCUUUCAUCAUUACGUUGGUAAUUUGUGCACUCGCCCUAAAUAAAUAGUAGUGAAUAGAUCUAGGUAUUGGAACGGAUAGGAAUUUGGCAUCAUCAGAACCAGCUUAGGAUCCAUUGGCAAGCUUCUGUUCAGUCCAGGCUUCAGUUUUCCCAUUUGACAAAUGGCAACACCGUGGUUCAUCCUGUGUGUGAAGCGCCCCAGCAUGGCGACCAGGGGGUGGCGGCCUUCUAAGAAAUGUAAGACGCAGGCAGUGAGGAGAAAUAAGCACCGGCCUGUCUGGGGGCCGACUCUCCUUAAUGGGGUGUCCUGGGAGACCUCACUUCCUGCCCCGACCCUCAAGUUCCCCCUCUGUGGGCAUCAAGACUUAAGAGAGAUGACAACAGCUACUACCCAUGGCAGCUCUGACGUGUAUUAACAGUCUGGGAGCUGCACUUUGGCCCUCGGAAAGGCGCCCCAAAGCCCGUCCUUUGGGCAGGAGGCGCUGAAUCAUUUCUCAGCGUCUGUAAUGACAUCCGUCAACAUCUUGUUGGAGGGUCAGGUGAGGUUCUCGUGGUGUAAAUAUGGUGACUCGGCCAAGGACCCAGGAACGGUGGACACCUCCUGGCCGAUCAAUCCUCCUCCCUCGAGAUUUCCCGGGCAGCUAUGCGUGCAAGGAUGAAAAACAAAUGGGAAAUUAAAGUGCUCCAGUGACAAGAGAGGAGUGAGGGCCGCCUUCGCUCUCCGAGGCGGGCUCUCUGCCCAGAAGGGAGGGACAGCAUUUCUCAUCACACGAACCAAAUCUGUUUCUGAAGACGUGUUGGGAAGCGACACUAUAGAGACGAUACGGUUUCUCUUGCCCACCCGAACUCCCAACCAAUUAACCCAAAUAUCUCAAAAACACCGUUAAACACCUAUACGACAGCCUCGCAAGGAUUUCUGCCUAAAACAGAGCAUUGUAAACUGAAAUCAAUAAAAAGUUA